CAGCUCAGAAUGCAGCCAUUCCCCACCCCAGCUCCAGUUCCUGCAGAUAUUCACAGCCAGGUUUUAUUCACAAGCAUUUACUUGUUCUGUUACUACAAAAAGAAUAACAAUUAUUUCUGCAAAUGUUUUGUAUUUAUAGCGUCAUGUGAAUAAAUUAAAUAAUUGAUUCCAGGAAUCAAAUUGUGAUAGUACUACUGACAAAAAUGCAAACGUUGUCAUUAUUGUAUAAAUUAAGCAUAUUCCAUUAAUACUCUCAAAUAUUAUGUUUUUUGUAGACCCAAGGAACAAUAUUCACAACCUGGUAGCAGCUAUGGUUUGACAUACUGUUAUAUCUGAAUGCUGAACCAUAUUCUUGAUCUCAUGGGAAGUACUUUUGAAGAAGCUCAUCCUUCUGAAACAAAUGAAUGCCAGAGUGCCUAGUUCUUGCUGGGCACUUAGUAUCAUCUUACAGACUGGGCUCCUUUCAACUGCCUUUUUACUUGACAAAAGAUACUAUGACUUAAAGAGAUGUCAUAUAUUUAGCAUACAUUAAAAAAUCAAUAUUUU